rnacentral:sRNA from 1 species
CAUGAAACUCAUAAACCAUAGCCAUCAGAACCCAACCUCCUUUCUGCUCAUGGGAAUUCCAGGCCUGGAGGCAUCCCACUUUUGGAUUGCUUUUCCCUUCUGCUCCAUGUAUGCCCUGGCAGUGCUGGGAAACAUGGUGGUGCUGCUAGUGGUACAUUCAGAGCCUGUAUUGCACCAGCCCAUGUACCUGUUCCUCUGCAUGCUAUCCACCAUUGACCUGGUCCUCUGCACCUCCACUGUGCCCAAGCUCCUUGCACUUUUUUGGGCAAAGGAUGCUGAGAUCAACUUUGGGGCCUGUGCUGCCCAGAUGUUCUUUAUCCAUGGCUUCUCAGCUGUAGAAUCUGGUAUACUGCUAGCAAUGGCCUUUGACCGCUACUUAGCCAUCUGCCGGCCUCUGCACUAUGGGUCAUUGCUCUCCCCAGAGUCUGUAGGCAAGCUGGGGGCUGCAGCCGUGCUUCGUGGUUUGGGACUCAUGACCCCACUCACCUGCUUACUGGCAAGACUGAGCUACUGCAGUCGAGUGGUGGCCCACUCCUACUGUGAACACAUGGCUGUGGUGAAGCUGGCUUGUGGAGGAACACAGCCAAACAACAUCUAUGGCAUCACCGCUGCCACACUGGUGGUGGGCACUGACUCCAUCUGUAUUGCUGUCUCCUAUGCACUCAUCCUCCGGGCUGUGUUAGGCCUUUCCUCCAAGGAGGCAAGGGCUAAGACCUUUGGCACUUGUGGCUCCCACCUGGGUGUCAUCCUUCUCUUCUACACACCAGGACUCUUCUCCUUCUACACACAGCGGUUUGGCCAGCACGUGCCCCGUCACAUCCACAUCCUUCUAGCUGACCUCUACCUGGUUGUGCCACCCAUGCUCAACCCCAUCAUCUAUGGCAUGAAGACCAAACAGAUCUGGGAUGGGGCCCUCCGGCUUCUGAAGUGGGGCCCUGCUCAGUCAUAAAGUCUUC